UCAUGCCCUCUAUAGGAUUGAGGAUAUCUUUCUUCAUUUCUUGGACUGGUGUGAUGAACGUGGAAAACCACUCGAAAACCAUGAGUUCUUGCGCAAAAGCUUGAAACAUUUGAAGUAUGAAGCAGAAAUACUGGAUAAAAUAGGAUGCAUAGAGGUAAACAAACUCUGAAUAACUUGCUGUUGUUUUGCUCCCUAGCAAUCAUAGUUCCCAUAACUUUCCAGUUGUCUUUUUUGGUUUCAUAGGAACUUGAGAGAAAACUCUUUAAUCUCAACCAGAAAAAAAAAUUGAAGCUGUGGAAAAGAUGAGGUCUUAUAAUCCAGAUAUGAUUCAGAAGCUCUCAAAUUCUGAAGCUACUCAUCGACAGAAAAUUGUUAUGGACGCAAUUCGACGAAUU